rnacentral:rRNA from 1 species
GCAUAUCAAUAAGCGGAGGAAAAGAAACCAACAGGGAUUGCCCUAGUAACGGCGAGUGAAGCGGCAACAGCUCAAAUUUGAAAGCUGGCCUUCGGGUCCGCAUUGUAAUUUGUAGAGGAUGCUUUGGGGCAGCCGCCUGUCUAAGUUCCUUGGAACAGGACGUCAUAGAGGGUGAGAAUCCCGUAUGUGACAGGACAUGGCACCCUAUGUAAAGCUCCUUCGACGAGUCGAGUUGUUUGGGAAUGCAGCUCUAAAUGGGAGGUAAAUUUCUUCUAAAGCUAAAUAUUGGCGAGAGACCGAUAGCGCACAAGUAGAGUGAUCGAAAGAUGAAAAGCACUUUGGAAAGAGAGUUAAAAAGCACGUGAAAUUGUUGAAAGGGAAGCGCUUGCAAUCAGACUUGUUUAAACUGUUCGGCCGGUCUUCUGACCGGUUUACUCAGUUUGGGCAGGCCAGCAUCAGUUUUGGCGGCCGGAUAAAGGCCUAGGGAAUGUGGCCCUCGCUUCGGCGGGGGUGUUAUAGCCCUGGGUGUAAUACGGCCAGCCGGGACUGAGGUCCGCGCUUCGGCUAGGAUGCUGGCGUAAUGGUUGUAAGCGACCCGUCUUGAAACACGGACCAAGGAGUCUAACAUCUAUGCGAGUGUUCGGGUGUCAAACCCCUGCGCGUAAUGAAAGUGAACGGAGGUGGGAACCGCAAGGUGCACCAUCGACCGAUCCUGAUGUCUUCGGAUGGAUUUGAGUAAGAGCAUAGCUGUUGGGACCCGAAAGAUGGUGAACUAUGCCUGAAUAGGGUGAAGCCAGAGGAAAACUCUGGUGGAGGCUCGCAGCGGUUCUGACGUGCAAAUCGAUCGUCAAAUUUGGGUAUAGGGGCGAAAGACUAAUCGAACCAUCUAGUAGCUGGGUUCCUGCCGA